CGAGGCUGAGAGAGCUGCCUGUACAGAUGUCCUAGGCAGGAGAGCGCAGGGCACCUUUGAGGAACUGAAAGAAGACUGGCAUUUGGUCCUGUCUACUCUGGAAUUGAAUCUUGACAGCCACUUGGGCCUCUCCGUGUCCCAGUUUCUUCCUCUCUAGAACCGAGGCUCCUCUGGGUGUCCCAGGACGUAUCUGAGGUUCUGCUCCUAACACACUUAUCCUCGGGCCUGGCAGAGAACUAGGAAUGUGAUUGGUUUAUUAUCUUUUUUCCAACAAAUACUCAGGAGUGCCUGGCCCUUUGUGGCCUCCAGGGACACUGUACUGAUAAACGAACCCAGUUGCUACCCAAUUGGAGCCUGUCUCUUGGACUCUCAGCCUUCUGGCCACACCCCUGACACAUCCCAGCUCCAGCUCCGAGGCAGGAGAAGGCCUCAAAUGACCUUGAGCCUGGGGAGUCCUUAUUCCUGAGGCGGAUUAAUAGAGAGAACUAAUUGAGGGCUUGCACGUGCCAGGCCCAGUGCCUGUACAGAACUCCCACACUGCUUCUGCUCAGUCCUUCCCGGAAGGAUUCGACCCAUUUCAGAGAUGAGGAAGCGAGGGCAGCGCCAGUGGGUUACCUGGCACAGGUGUACAUCACCGACUCAACGGACAUGAGUCUGAGCCAACUCCCGGAGAUGGUGAAGGACAGGGAAGCCUGGCGCGCUGCAGUCCAUGGGGUUGCAAAGAGUCGGACGCCACUGAGCGACUAAACAACAAAAGGCCCCACGUGUCCCGUCCACCCUCUUCCUGCUGGCCUCUCGCAUCCUCCGCCUCCGAGCCUCCCUGUUCCUGCCCUGCUCACAGCCUUCCUGCGGCUCCAUCUCACGCAGGUAAGAGCCGAGUCCUCCCUGUGCCCCCCGCCCCGCCCCGGCCACUCGGCCUCCGCUCUGUUCUUUGGCCCUCAAGCACUCUGCGGCCCCAAGCCUUUGUGCUGGCUGUUCUCGCGGCCAGGGUCCUCCUCCCCCAGGCACCCACUCCUCUCCCCACCCUGCUCUAGUGUGACCUCCUCUUCGAGGCCCUCCCUGACCGCUUCACUGAAGAUCCCCACGUCCCCUCAGCCUCCACACCCAGCUGAUCCCUGCUCUUUUUCUUCUCAGCACUCACCAUCUGACUCACUAGCUGGCUGUCUGGUGUAUCUGCUGUGAACUGUCUCUCCUUUCCCCUCGAAUGUGAGCUUGGCAAGGGCAGGGACAUCCCUGGCUCUCCUGGCCUCUGCUGUGGGCCCUGCCCCGGGCUUGGCAGAGCUCAGCUCUCACCCGAC
rnacentral:lncRNA from 1 species